GACGAACGCUGGCGGCGUGCUUAACACAUGCAAGUCGAGCGGUAAGGCCCUUCGGGGUACGACGAGCGGCGAACGGGUGAGUAACACGUGGGUGACCUGCCCUCAGCUCUGGGAUAAGCCUGGGAAACCGGGUCGUAAUACCGGAGUAUGACUCCAUGACGCAUGUUGUGGGGUGGGAAAGCCUUGUGCGGCUGAGGAUGGGCCCGCGGCCUAUCAGCUUGUUGGUGGGGUGAUGG
rnacentral:rRNA from 1 species